CCUACGGGAGGCUGCAGUGGGGAAUAUUGCACAAUGGGCGCAAGCCUGAUGCAGCCAUGCCGCGUGUGUGAAGAAGGCCUUCGGGUUGUAAAGCACUUUCAGCGGGGAGGAAGGCGGUGAGGUUAAUAACCUCAUCGAUUGACGUUACCCGCAGAAGAAGCACCGGCUAACUCCGUGCCAGCAGCCGCGGUAAUACGGAGGGUGCAAGCGUUAAUCGGGAUUACUGGGCGUAAAGCGCACGCAGGCGGUCUGUCAAGUCGGAUGUGAAAUCCCCGGGCUCAACCUGGGAACUGCAUUCGAAACUGGCAGGCUAGAGUCUUGUAGAGGGGGGUAGAAUUCCAGGUGUAGCGGUGAAAUGCGUAGAGAUCUGGAGGAAUACCGGUGGCGAAGGCGGCCCCCUGGACAAAGACUGACGCUCAGGUGCGAAAGCGUGGGGAGCAAACAGGAUUAGAUACCCCGGUAGUC
rnacentral:rRNA from 1 species